GGAAAGUCCAAGGUCAAGGUAUCAGCAGAUAUGGCAUAUGGACUAAUGUCACCUCUUCCUGAAAACACAAUUUGAUUUUCCAAGAUGACAUAAGUAUGUUGAUGUAUCAAUAGC